AUGAAGAUCGCGGUGGAGGGAUGCAUGCACGGGGAGCUGGACAAGGUCUACGACACGAUGCAGCGGCUCGAGGCGGCCGAGGGCAUCAAGAUCGACCUCCUCAUCUGCUGCGGCGACUUCCAGGCUGUAAGGAAUGAGAGUGAUUUACAGUGUGUAAAUGUCCCACCAAAGUUUCGUACCAUGAACUCGUUUUGGAAGUACUACUCUGGGCAAGCAGUUGCCCCAUACCCAACUAUCUUCAUCGGCGGGAAUCAUGAAGCAGCCAAUUAUUUGUGGGAACUGUACUAUGGAGGAUGGGCAGCACCUAACAUCUACUUCUUGGGGUUUGCUGGUGUUGUUAAGUUUGGAAAUAUUCGAAUUGGUGGAAUGUCAGGAAUACAUAAGCAACAUGAUUAUUACCGAGGACACCAUGAGAGGCCUCCAUACGAUAAUGCUACUAUACGAUCAGUGUACCAUGUAAGGCAUUACGAUGUUCUCAAGCUAAUGCAUGUGAAGGAGCCUCUAGAUAUAUUCAUGUCACAUGAUUGGCCUCUUGGCAUUACUGAAUAUGGAAACCGGGAGAGGCUCCUUCGAGAGAAACCGUUCUUCAAAGAAGAGGUCAACGAGAGAACAUUAGGCAGUGAAUCUGCAGCAAAAUUACUGAACAAAUUAAAACCACCGUACUGGUUUUCAGCUCAUCUUCAUUGUAGAUUUCCAGCUAUCAUUCAACAUGGCGAGGAUGGACCUACGACUAAGUUUCUUGCUCUUGAUAAGUGCCUUCCCGGGCGGAAUUUUUUGCAGGUAAUAGACAUUCCAUCCAAUCCGGGACCAUAUGAAAUUCAGUAUGAUGAAGAAUGGCUUGCAAUAACACGGAGAUUCAAUAGUGCUUUCCCCUUAACUCGGAUGCCAUGUACAAUUCGGAAUGAAGAACUUGAUAUUGAAGAUGACCGGCAGUGGGUUAGGAGCAAGUUGAAUGCUAGAGGGGCUAAGACAUUUGAUUUUGCCCAGACUGCUCCACCUUAUGAUCCGUCCAGGCCAAUUUAUAACCCCCCCAUAGCAGUUCCUUGCAGAAACCCACAAACUGAAUCAUUUCUCCAGUUUUUAGAGCUCCCAUAUCUGCUGGACUCGUCUAAUCCUGGCGGUGUUGAUAUAAAUGUAUCGAGCUCUCAGGCAGCACCUGCACUUGACAACGACGACAUAGAGCUCCCCGAUGAAGUUGAAGACGACGAAGAUGAUGAGGAGUGA
rnacentral:rRNA from 1 species